GCACGAUACAUUUUCAGUCCUGUUGCUGCUUGGGUAUGUGGUUCUCCUGUGUCAAAGUGUUUUACUGAUUGCCAGACGCUUCCGGGUAAUCGCGCUGUGUAUUGCUGAAGGUCCUGGGCAAAGCACACGCCGGGUAGCUUUACCACAAUUUACUAGCAUCAAGAAGGUCUGGGGCAAAGUACCCGCCGUGUAGCUGUAACGUUACUGCCAGACGCUUCCGGGUAAUCGCGCUGUGUGCUUUUGAAGGUCCUAGAAGAGUAUUAGCGUAGCUGCUCACAAGAGAGGUUCCUGGUUCCGUCCCCACACCCUGCACCACGUAUUGUAGUGAGCCUUGAAGUCAAUAUGAAAAGACUGAAAAAAGAUUGUCUGCUGAAUUGUCUAAUUCUCUACUUCGGGGAAGACCUGGACCAACUCAUUAAGGAGUAUCUGUUGUCCAGAGGAAUGAAGCUGAAACAGAGCUUGCAAGUUACACAAUGGCUGUGUUCGUCACAUUGACAUUGACAUUGGUAUAGAGUUUGAAGGUGUGAAAGUGCUGAACAGGUUGCCAUCAGUCGCACAUGCAUGUGCGAUGUUAUUUGGCCUAAUUUAUGUGCUGAACUUGAGCUAUCCAGGUGAGCUGGAACACACCUUUGAUACACUACAAAAGUUAUUUAUGGAGAUUGAACCAAAGAAAAUGACGCACAAAGUUCUCAGCCUCAGUGUUAAGCUGUGAAAGUAAAUUAGCAAAGCGAAAUACAUUUGAAUACAUUGUAUUUGGUUCCGUUUUAGAGCUUGUACUCAAAAACAUUGCCGGUUAAUGAAUUACUGUUCAAUGAAAAAAACUUUAAACUGACUUAUUGUCAAGUUGUUUUGUGGUAUAGAUAUUUGGGCACAUUGUUAACAUUAAAGGGAUAGUUCACCCAAAUAGCAAAAU